rnacentral:rRNA from 1 species
GUUGAACGCUGGCGGCAUGCCUAACACAUGCAAGUCGAACGGCAGCACGGCAGUAGCAAUACUGUGGGUGGCGAGUGGCGGACGGGUGAGGAAUACGUCGGAAUCUGCCCAGUCGUGGGGGAUAACUAGCCGAAAGGUUAGCUAAUACCGCAUACGACCGAGAGGUGAAAGCGGGGGACCGCAAGGCCUCGCGCGAUUGGAUGAGCCGACGUCGGAUUAGCUAGUUGGUGGGGUAAAGGCCCACCAAGGCGACGAUCCGUAGCUGGUCUGAGAGGAUGAUCAGCCACACUGGAACUGAGACACGGUCCAGACUCCUACGGGAGGCAGCAGUGGGGAAUAUUGGACAAUGGGCGCAAGCCUGAUCCAGCAAUGCCGCGUGUGUGAAGAAGGCCUCGGUUGUAAG